rnacentral:tRNA from 1 species
GGUGACUCAGAGGUAGAGUGCUUGCCUUGCAUGCAUGAGGCCCUGGGUUCAAUUCCUCAGCACCA